GGCUUAUCUGGCAGAGUUAUGUGGGGUAUCCUGAGUCUGGCAGAGCCAAAGGUAUGGCAGAGGCUGGAGCCAAUGUCCCCAUGGCAGCUGGGAGUAGAGGGAUUGACGUUUGCAGCUCCCAGAGUGUCUUGGCUAACUCACAUGUCUGACCCUGGGAAGCGCUUUCUUCUUUGCAUAGGGCCAAAGUCCAGCUGGGUCAAUGGGGCAGUUUCUGUGAUGGGUCAGGUGAUGAGAAACAUUGGGCCCCCUGGCGGCCCUUCCUGACAGGUACAGCUCAGAGGAAUGGGGAACUCCAGCUGAGGAGGGAUGAGAGACAGGGGAGCAAAGAGAACAAGAGAUCAGCCCUUCAGAAGGGAAAAACCCCAUAUAAGGCUGCCAGGGUCCUCAGCCCUUUCAGUUCUGGGGUCCAUAAGGGACCUGCAGCCUUUGAUUGGGUCCUGUGAUAUUAACUUUGUGUCUUUCUUCUUUGCUG
rnacentral:lncRNA from 1 species